CUACGUGCCAGCAGCCGCGGUAAUACGGAGGGUGCGAGCGUUAAUCGGAAUAACUGGGCGUAAAGGGCACGCAGGCGGUUAUUUAAGUGAGGUGUGAAAGCCCCGGGCUUAACCUGGGAAUUGCAUUUCAGACUGGGUAACUAGAGUACUUUAGGGAGGGGUAGAAUUCCACGUGUAGCGGUGAAAUGCGUAGAGAUGUGGAGGAAUACCGAAGGCGAAGGCAGCCCCUUGGGAAUGUACUGACGCUCAUGUGCGAAAGCGUGGGGAGCAAACAGGAUUAGAUACCCUGGUAGUCCACGCUGUAAACGCUGUCGAUUUGGGGAUUGGGCUUAAAGCUUGGUGCCCGUAGCUAACGUGAUAAAUCGACCGCCUGGGGAGUACGGCCGCAAGGUUAAAACUCAAAUGAAUUGACGGGGGCCCGCACAAGCGGUGGAGCAUGUGGUUUAAUUCGAUGCAACGCGAAGAACCUUACCUACUCUUGACAUCCAUGGAAUCCAGUAGAGAUACGGGAGUGC
rnacentral:rRNA from 1 species